rnacentral:rRNA from 2 species
CUCAGGAUGAACGCUGGCGGCGUGCCUAAUACAUGCAAGUCGAGCGAACUGAUUAGAAGCUUGCUUCUAUGACGUUAGCGGCGGACGGGUGAGUAACACGUGGGCAACCUGCCUGUAAGACUGGGAUAACUUCGGGAAACCGAAGCUAAUACCGGAUAGGAUCUUCUCCUUCAUGGGAGAUGAUUGAAAGAUGGUUUCGGCUAUCACUUACAGAUGGGCCCGCGGUGCAUUAGCUAGUUGGUGAGGUAACGGCUCACCAAGGCAACGAUGCAUAGCCGACCUGAGAGGGUGAUCGGCCACACUGGGACUGAGACACGGCCCAGACUCCUACGGGAGGCAGCAGUAGGGAAUCUUCCGCAAUGGACGAAAGUCUGACGGAGCAACGCCGCGUGAGUGAUGAAGGCUUUCGGGUCGUAAAACUCUGUUGUUAGGGAAGAACAAGUACAAGAGUAACUGCUCGUACCUUGACGGUACCUAACCAGAAAGCCACGGCUAACUACGUGC